rnacentral:rRNA from 1 species
ACACGUGGGUAACCUACCUAUAAGACUGGGAUAACUUCGGGAAACCGGAGCUAAUACCGGAUAAUAUUUCGAACCGCAUGGUUCGAUAGUGAAAGAUGGUUUUGCUAUCACUUAUAGAUGGACCCGCGCCGUAUUAGCUAGUUGGUAAGGUAACGGCUUACCAAGGCGACGAUACGUAGCCGACCUGAGAGGGUGAUCGGCCACACUGGAACUGAGACACGGUCCAGACUCCUACGGGAGGCAGCAGUAGGGAAUCUUCCGCAAUGGGCGAAAGCCUGACGGAGCAACGCCGCGUGAGUGAUGAAGGUCUUCGGAUCGUAAAACUCUGUUAUUAGGGAAGAACAUACGUGUAAGUAACUAUGCACGUCUUGACGGUACCUAAUCAGAAAGCCACGGCUAACUACGUGCCAGCAGCCGCGGUAAUACGUAGGUGGCAAGCGUUAUCCGGAAUUAUUGGGCGUAAAGCGCGCGUAGGCGGUUUUUUAAGUCUGAUGUGAAAGCCCACGGCUCAACCGUGGAGGGUCAUUGGAAACUGUAAAACUUGAGUGCAGAAGAGGAAAGUGGAAUUCCAUGUGUAGCGGUGAAAUGCGCAGAGAUAUGGAGGA